CAAGGAUGGACGUCGUUUUUAUCGUUUGAUUUCGUCCGUAGUCGGACCCUACUCUUGUGAAUGGUAAAUGAAUGUAUGUUCGUAUUGAGAUGAUUAUGAUUAGCCUAUGCGAGUCUAAGCCAAUUCCAUAUACUCAUCUCUUCUUUACAUGUACUUGUAACGAUAUCAAUUCUAGCAAAAUGACGAGAUGCGCUUCUAUCCCUAUCGAGGCCCUCGUGCCAAAAUAAAGAUAGGAUCGCAUCUUGGGCGUUACAAGUUGGUAUCAGAGUAGUAC
rnacentral:lncRNA from 1 species